rnacentral:rRNA from 1 species
AUCAACGCUGGCGGCGUGCCUCAGACAUGCAAGUCGAACGCGAAAUCCCGAGCAAUCGGGAAAGUAGAGUGGCGCACGGGUGAGUAACACGUAGGUAAUCUACCCUUGGAUUGGGAAUAACACCGAGAAAUCGGUGCUAAUACCGAAUAAUGCAGCGGCACCUAAUGGUGACAGUUGUUAAAGCGGGGGAUCGUAAGACCUCGCGUCUAAAGAGGAGCCUGGGGCGGAUUAGCUAGUUGGUAAGGUAACGGCUUACCAAGGCGAUGAUCCGUAGCCGGCCUGAGAGGGCGGUCGGCCACACUGACACUGACAUACGGGUCAGACUCCUACGGGAGGCAGCAGUCGGGGAAUUUUGGACAAUGGGCGCAAGCCUGAUCCAGCAAUGCCGCGUGCAGGAAGAAGGCCUUCGGGUUGUAAACUGCUUUUGUACGGAACGAAACGGUCCGGGUUAAUACCCUGGGCUAAUGACGGUACCGUAAGAAUAAGCACCGGCUAACUACGUGCCAGCCGCCGCAGUAACAC